rnacentral:rRNA from 1 species
GUAUCAUGGCUCAGGAUGAACGCUAGCUACAGGCUUAACACAUGCAAGUCGAGGGGCAGCAUGGUCUUAGCUUGCUAAGGCCGAUGGCGACCGGCGCACGGGUGNGUAACGCGUAUCCAACCUGCCUUACACUCUUGGACAGCCUUCUGAAAGGGAGAUUAAUACAAGAUGUUAUCAUGAGUAAGCAUUUUCGCAUGAUUAAAGGUUUACCGGUGUAAGAUGGGGAUGCGUU